CCGAUUUUCUAUUAGUAUUAGCUGCCUGCACAAACCAGAAAACCAAAAGUUUCAAUCUCUUCAUAUACCUUACAAUUAAAUUCUCAUCUUCAAUAGAGUUCCAAAUUAAUAUUUAUUUAUUUUUGCUAAAAACCAAAUUAAUAUUAAAGACCUCUAAAUGACUCCUACCGCUUCAUCUUUAAUGUAUAAGUGGAAAAUUUCAGCCAAAACCAAGAAAUGAUUAACACCUUAUUCUUGCCACAGAUCCUAACGCACGUACGGCAACAAAGGUACCAAAUUUUUGCUCAAAUCCAAAGAUACAUGUUCUUAAAUAUUCUUCAUGUCUGCAUCAUAGAGAUUAACUUCAGAUUUUUCCUUCUUGAUUUGAAUCUCCAUGGUAAGAGUCUUUAUUUUCUUCAAGAUUCUGUAUUUUCUGGAGAUCUUUACAAUUUCUAGACUGUUGAUCCAAUCUAAGUUUUUUUCCUUCUUCUGUUACGGAUAAUUCAAAACUUUCUAAACAGCUGACCGUGUUAUUAACCACUACGAUCGGAGGGACUGACAAACAACAUGUAGUCUUUUGGCUCAAGCCAACUAAUAUGUCCCUUAUGGCAUGAGGUUCGGAAAUUUAGAUUAAUGUUUUUUCCCUUUAAUCUUGAUCAGGAAAAAAGGAGUAUUUCUUGGGUUUAUUUCAGUUUUGAACUUCAGUCUUUACUUCUUGAAUUUCAUAUGAAAUAGGUAUAAAAAUAGGAGAGAAUGAUGAAAAGAUCUUCAUUGGUCACAAGAUGAGACAGAGUUUCUUUGAUAUCACUAACUCUCAAACUCAAAGAGGAUCUUAAUUUUCAAGAAACAUGUUUAGCGGCAAGUAAGGUUGACAUCUCAUUCUGGGUUUGUAAGUCUCUAACUUGCGAUCUCAUUGUCUUAAAUUAAUUACUAGAUUUGAUUUUGGUUUUAUUUGAGAUCAUGAGAUGUAAAAGUAUUUUCUUUAAUCAAUAAAAAUGUAAAACAAUUGAGCUAAGCAGAUACGAGUUGUAAAUGGAGGAAUACACAGUUUGCACACAUAUCUUGGUUUAAUUUAGGGUCCUAUGCACCAAAGAAAACCAUUUAUUUUUCUACAGGAGAUAAAAUUUUCUAGAAACAAGGUGCAACCAGAACUUACUACUCCUUGCUCACAUGUUGUGUCAGUUCUUCACUUCUUUGUUUAAGAAUGAAUAUGUUUCAGGUGAAAGCUUUGCACCACGAGGUUACUUGCAAAAAUGCUUUGCUUAAGGCCAAGUGUUCUGAACAAGAGAUUUGGUUUCUUUCCUGUAAUUUCUAAAUCAUCUUCUGAACUUAUAUAUUAACCAACAAGUUGUAGACUUCUAUAAAUCAUGUUUAGGUAUUGCUUUUACUUUUAACUUACGUCUGUAUUUCAAACUAAAGUUGGAUGUUUCUGAUAUUAUUCACACUUUUAGGAUCAUAAAGAUGAGAACCCACCCCCAUAAAAUGCACUAACAGCUGAGAACGUGGUUAAGUUUUUGGAACCAUCUGUACCAAAUAGAAGGCUUAUUCAUUAGAAGCAAACGUAGAUAUCUGUUCAUGAUCUUGCUUAAGAAUUGCUAUGACUAUUGUUACUUAUUUCAUUAAUUUGUGAUAAUCUUCCUUUGUUUUCUUGAUGGUUUUAUCUUACAGUCAUAUGAGCAUCAACUGCACACAAUGUUGACGCAGGAAAAGAGAAACCUGAAACGUUGUCUUCAAUCAAUUGUUAUAUAGAGCUGAGUAAUGUUUUUUUAUAUUGUUUUUAAUGUUGGUAGGGAUUUGGGCUGGAAUGUGUACAAUACGCUAUUUUCGAUGGUCCAACAUAUGAGUGGGUUGUCAUUAGCCGCCAGCCUAACAUUAUUGGCAAAUUAAGGUUUUGUUCAACCUCAAGAUGCAUGCACAUGGUCCUAGCUAAUAUGUGUGUUUGAUGAGAGAAGGUGAAAAGGACAUUGGGGCAGUUCACACCAGUUCAUGGGGACAAAGACGAGUGGCAUCCACUGCAAGCCACUUGGCAUGUUAUUCAAGUACUCACUCUUUGCAUCAUCUUCUUGACAGUAGCAUUGAACACAUCAUCUUCCAACAAACCCAUUGAUUCUCUAUAGCCUGAUCUUGUGGUUGCUCAUAGCCAGAGCUGAAGCCUUGCAAUCUGAUUAUGUCUUUGAUGAAUCUUCAGGGUACGUUUGUAUAUUCGUCUCUCUAUAUCUCUUGAUCAGUCGGCCACACUAAAUACUUUUUCUUUCCAGGUACUACUACAGCAGCAGGCUUAGUUACUAAUAUUAGUUAACAUUAGUGAAAGUUCAUACUAUGAGUAGGUAGAAAUUGUAAUGUUAAUGUGUUUGCAUUUGAGUCGUUUGACUGCAUGUGGACAGCUGUUUCAGGACGAAAGAAGACCCUCAGUUAUACUAUGCACCAACGAAGCCUUUGGAAGAAGGAACAUCUGAGGCAGAACAACGUAAAGAGAAGUUAAGUGUACUUUUGUGAAUGAAUGUUUUACAUAAAUGCUACGCGGUAUUGAUAUGUGACUGUUGAGAUGUUGGCGCAUACAUUCUUAGAAUGGAAGUAAGUCAUGAAACAAGAAGUGAGUAUCAAAAGGAGAUAGAAGAGCCGUAUAUGGGUAAUGUUGAGAAAGAGCAAAAGGUGGCAAACAAUUCGAAGCCUAACAGCGGUAACUAUACAUGAAAAAUCUGAAGUCAUACUGUUUCUUUUCUUUUUAUUAUGUCAUCCUUUGUUUCUGAUUAUUAAAUGAGAACUAAAAGAUUUAAAAUCUGGAAAGCAUGAAGUUCUCAGUGUUCACGGUCACGUUUUCUCAUCUGAGGUUAGUUUUUCUUCAAGAAUCAUGAAUAUUUCUUCUAUAAAAAUCUACAUCAGCUAAUGGUGUUUUUUAUUAAAAAAGUCUUGUGGGGGUGCAGAAACAGCCUGGAAGUUUGUUGGAGGGAUUUACAAAGACUCAGGUGAGUACAUUUGCCGUGAAGAUAAAUUUAAAUUGAUGUUCUCUGUUUCAAAUUUUGUGUGGUGUCUAUCACAGAUCCGUUUCUUGGAUUAAAGUAGCAUUCAUUGUGUUAAUAUAUUAUGGUUAGUCACAGAUCUAUUUCUUAGACUAUCGUUUGUUAAUGAAUACAUGUGUUUUUUUAUACGUCAAAAGGGUUACAUCGGCUAAAACAACAAAAGUGACAAGGGCAGAGAAAGAAGAAGAUUCUUGGAAUAAAUAUUCGAGUCGUAAAAUUGUUUUAUCUUGCUGGAAAUAUUUUGUUUCAUACUGAAUGCUACUUUAAAAGUUACACUGUCGACAUGUUUUCAAUGAUUUAAAAAAAAACAAAAUAUGUUUCGCUAAAGAAAAGUAUAACCACUUCAUCUCGAUAUGCAUGGUUUAAUUCUCAUUAUAUCCUAUUCAAAAUGCCCAACUCUAAUUGAUCUGAAUUUUUUUGAAAAUAUUAAACUUACAUGCAUAAAAGUUCUGUUGUAAGUACAUCUUAAGACUAAAAGAGACCAUCAAUAAAACAUAAACAAAGAACAACAAAUUAAUAGCUACUUUUCAAUUCAUGCUUUGUUGGUUCGUUAUGACAAAAUAAUCAAAUGAUAUUUUUAUACUAAAUUAAAAGGAAAAUUUUAUAAUGGCACAAUCCGCGCGUAGCGCGGACACGGACCUAGUACAAUACUAAAAGGGGAAUACCCUCAUCGUUUAGGCCCUCUACGUCGGAUGAAAUAUUUAGCCAAUGGCAUCGCAUGUUUCUUCCACGUCAGAAUCGAUUGGGCCUCUAUGUUUUUUUUUUGAUACGGAGUUAGCCCGUAAGCCCGUUACUUUACGCAAAAAGAGAGGACCUCCUCGACGAACCUUAGCUUCCUUCUCUUUUUCGCAGACAAUGAUCUGAUUCCUAAGAUCUGAUCCCUUUCUGGGUUUCGUAAUCUGGAUGUGAUUGACAUGGAUCGGAUCGAAGUCACCAAUCUCAAUCGCCAGUUCCUCUUCAGACUUGAGGAUGAGGAAAGCCUAAGGAAGAGGUAGCUGCAAAGCGUGUCAUGGAGAGAGUGAGUGGAGUGGAGAUUGUGCCGCAUUUUUCACGUAUAGAAGACAAAGAGCUUGAAUUUUAUAACUAUUUUAAUAUCAUUGCUCUUGGUCUUGAUUCCAUCGAAGCUGCUCUAUUUUUUAUUAGUGGCUCUCACCUUGGUCUGACGAGUCUGAUCAUGCUGUUAAAUCAAUUUCUCAAAUUAAGGCUGCUCUAUUUUUUGAAGCUGCUCUAGAGUUAGUAGUCGUUUGAAGAUGCUCUAUUUUUUAUUUGAUCAAAGACCAAGAAUCGCUUCUGCAGCCGAGUCUUUUGUUAACCGCAUCCAUGGUGAAGCACUCACAAGAACACAAUAACCAGACCAAGUAUUGCAAGGCUAGAGGAUCGAAAUAGAAGUUUCCGAUAUUCAUAGGAAUCAAUGGGACAAUCUCAAAUUGGUCAAUCUUAGGGUUCACUUCAAGAACACUCGCUAAACAGUGCACUCUGUCAGGAAGCUAUCAGGAAGCUACCAUUGCUCAAGGCCAAGAGGUACCUUGAGGAUGUGAUAGCUCACAAACAGGCUAUUACUUUCACCCAUUUCUGCAGAGGUGUUGGAAGGAAUGCUCUAGCUAAGAACAUGCAUUCCAAUGGUCAAGAACGUUGGCCUGCUAAAUCUGCUCAAUUUGUUCUUGAUUCUCUCAAGAACGCUGAGAUCAAUGCUGAGGUUGUAUCUACCUUUCAAACGUAACCUACGACAGUGGUGUCAUCCCAUAUACUUCUUUCUGAUUUGAAGUGCGGUUUAUGUCCUGAAACUGUGGUUACGCACCUGCUGCGUUUUUGGGAAACAAGAAACGUGAAGAAGGGGAGGGAGGGGAGUUAAUGGGGGUUUGACAUGCUCCUCCUUGAUGCAAAGGUUUGUCUCUUCUAAUUUCCUUGAUGAUAAAUUAUAGAUCUUUCAGUUCCUUCUCAUAAACUGAUGAGCGGGUUUGUCUCCUAUAUUCCCUCAAUGAUAUCUUUUGGCGUCAAGCCUAAGGUGAUCGUAGCUACCAGCAUUAAUCCAAAAUUCGUCGGAGGUAUCUAUCUUGAACUUCGUCUUUAAAACAAGUUUAACUAUCUUUGUCAAUCUCCCAGGCCGCCUCUUACUGAAUGCAACUUCUGGCACUCAUUUCUGUUUCGACAAAGACAAACGCAAGUGAGACCUUCAUCCGAUUUGGGUGUUGGUGACGUGAACUGCUUCACAAGUUCCACCAAAUAUGAAGGUGUAAGAAAAUUGAAGUUGUGACGGUCUUUGAGCUUAACACAUACGUUGUUAACUCGACCCCACAGGUUACCGAGUUUUGUGCACUGAAAAAGCUGAGUUGAUUGAAACGGGCAGUGGCUGUGCUACAUAUCCUGCUCUAAUGGGAUCUCUUCCUGCAUGUAGUGACUUAACCUCUGUUGGUGUUGUCAGAUGGUGACAAGACAAGUGCCACUGACCCGAGCACUUGACGUAAUGACCUCUCCAUGAACCCCAGGGGUCCAUCUGCAGCAGAAGCAACAAGUGAUGAACUCAAUUAUGGCAGAAUCAUUGCAUAGCAGCAACAGCUUCCAGGAGCUGGUUGCCCACUCAAGAAGGCUCGCACAGAUUGAUUUUGAGGAUAAAUACAUGCAGUGUUUCAUGCGUGACAAUCCAAAAUCACAAACUUUGACGACCCUAAUUUUAUUAACAAGAAGUCAAGAAGGUUCGAAGAUUUUAACUCCCUAUGUAAGUUGGGUGACUGGUGUGCCAGUAGUUCAUAUCUUUAACUUGCAAUAUGACAGAUAUUGAACAAGU